CAUCACUAUGCUAGAUGCAUAUCAAUAAGCGGAGGAAAAGAAACUAACUAGGAUUCCCUUAGUAACGGCGAGUGAAGCGGGAAGAGCUCAAAUUUGAGAUCUUCAAGGUUUUACCUUGACGAAUUGUAGUUUAAAGAAGUGUUUUCUGUUGGAGUUUCGGUAAAAGUUCUUUGGAAUAGGACAUCAUAGAGGGUGAGAAUCCCGUAUUUGACCAUUACUUUCCAACUGUGUGAUACACUUUCAAAGAGUCGGAUUGUUUGGGAAUGCAGUCCAAAAUGGGUGGUAAAUUUCAUCUAAAGCUAAAUAUUGGCGAGAGACCGAUAGCGAACAAGUACCGUGAGGGAAAGAUGAAAAGAACUUUGAAAAGAGAGUUAAACAGUACGUGAAAUUGUCAAAAGGGAAGCGUUUGACACCAGUGUUGUUUUUCUCGAAAAUCAAUUACAAAUGGUUGGAUUUUGAGAUUGUAUGACUUCAUCAGCUUCUGCACUUCUCUCUUAUACUUUCUUAAUGCACUUUUCGUUAACAAGUCAACAUCAAUUUCUUUUGUUGUAAAAGAGUCAUGAGUAAGGUGGCUUUCUUUUCGGAGAAAGUGUUUAUAGCCUUGUAGCCUCUGCAAUCGGAGAGAUUGAGGUCUGCAGCGUAGAUCCUUCGGGGUUAGAUACAUUUGUGCUAAGUUAUAGCUUUUCAUAGACAACUUGUUGACUAUGAUUAAGUCAUUGUAGCUUACUCGCUUAUGCUAUUUUACCUACGCUUAGGAUGUUGACACACGCGCGUGCUCG
rnacentral:rRNA from 1 species